UAGCUAGUUGGUGAGGUAACGGCCCACCAAGGCGACGAUUGGUAGCCGGACUGAGAGGUUGAACGGCCACAUUGGGACUGAGACACGGCCCAGACUCCUACGGGAGGCAGCAGUGGGGGAUAUUGCACAAUGGGGGAAACCCUGAUGCAGCGACGCCGCGUGGAGGAAGAAGGUUUUCGGAUUGUAAACUCCUGUCGUUAGGGACGAUAAUGACGGUACCUAACAAGAAAGCACCGGCUAACUACGUGCCAGCAGCCGCGGUAAAACGUAGGGUGCAAGCGUUGUCCGGAAUUACUGGGUGUAAAGGGAGCGCAGGCGGACCGGCAAGUUGGAAGUGAAAACUAUGGGCUCAACCCAUAAAUUGCUUUCAAAACUGCUGGCCUUGAGUAGGGCAGAGGUAGGUGGAAUUCCCGGUGUAGCGGUGGAAUGCGUAGAUAUCGGGAGGAACACCAGUGGCGAAGGCGACCUACUGGGCACCAACUGACGCUGAGGCUCGAAAGCAUGGGUAGCAAACAGGAUUAGAUACCCUGGUAGUCCAUGCCGUAAACGAUGAUUACCAGGCGUUGGAGGAUUGACCCCUUCAGUGCCGCAGUUAACACAAUAAGUAAUCCACCUGGGGAGUACGACCGCAAGGUUGAAACUCAAAGGAAUUGACGGGGGCCCGCACAAGCAGUGGAGUAUGUGGUUUAAUUCGAAGCAACGCGAAGAACCUUACCAGGUCUUGACAUCCGAUGCAUAGUGCAGAGAUGCAUGAAGUCCUUCGGGACAUCGAGACAGGUGGUGCAUGGUUGUCGUCAGCUCGUGUCGUGAGAUGUUGGGUUAAGUCCCGCAACGAGCGCAACCCUUAUUGCCAGUUACUACGAAAGAGGACUCUGGCGAGACUGCCGUUGACAAAACGGAGGAAGGUGGGGAUGACGUCAAAUCAUCAUGCCCUUUAUGACCUGGGCUACACACGUACUACAAUGGCGUUUAACAAAGAGAAGCAAGACCGCGAGGUGGAGCAAAACUCAAAAACAACGUCUCAGUUCAGAUUGCAGGCUGCAACUCGCCUGCAUGAAGUCGGAAUUGCUAGUAAUCGCGGAUCAGCAUGCCGCGGUGAAUACGUUCCCGGGCCUUGUACACACCGCCCGUCACACCAUGAGAGCCGGGGGGACCCGAAGUCGGUAGUCUAACCGCAAGGAGGACGCCGCCGAAGGUAAAACUGGUGAUUGGGGUGAAGUCGUAACAAGGUAGCCGUA
rnacentral:rRNA from 1 species